rnacentral:rRNA from 1 species
GAUUAACGCUGGCGGCGUGCAUAACACAUGCAAGUCGAACGAUGAAACUUUAAUGAACCCUUCGGGGAGAAUUAAAGCGGAUUAGUGGCGAACGGGUGAGUAACGCGUGAGUAACCUGCCUUACACAAGGGGAUAGCCUUUGGAAACGAAGAAUAAUACCCUAUAAAACCAUACAAGCACAUGCAAUUAUGGUCAAAGUGAUAGCGGUGUAAGAUGGACUUGCGUCUGCUUAGCUAGUUGGUGAGAUAAAAGCCCACCAAGGCAACGAUCAGUAGCCGGCUUGAGAGAGUGUACGGCCACAUUGGGACUGAGACACGGCCCAGACUCCUACGGGAGGCAGCAGUGGGGAAUGGUGCACAAUGGGGGAAACCCUGAUGCAGCGACGCCGCGUGAUUUAGAAGGCCUUCGGGUUGUAAAAAUCUUUUGUAUAGGAAGAAAAUGACAGUACUAUACGAAUAAGGUCCGGCUAAUUACGUG